rnacentral:tRNA from 1 species
AAAGAUUUAGUUUAAUUCAAAACAUUAAAUUGUCAAAUUAAAAUUACUUAAAAAGUAAUCUUUU